GACGAACGCUGGCGGCGUGCUUAACACAUGCAAGUCGAGCGGUAAGGCCCUUUUGGGGGUACACGAGCGGCGAACGGGUGAGUAACACGUGGGUGACCUGCCCUCAGCUCUGGGAUAAGCCUGGGAAACUGGGUCUAAUACUGGAUAUGACCUUUCCUCGCAUGGGGUUGGGUGGAAAGUUUUUCGGCUGGGGAUGGGCCCGCGGCCUAUCAGCUUGGUUGGUGGGGUGAUGGCCUACCAAGGCGACGACGGGUAGCCGGCCUGAGAGGGCGACCGGCCACAACUGGGACUGAGACACGGCCCAGACUCCUACGGGAGGCAGCAGUGGGGAAUAUUGCGCAAUGGGCGGAAGCCUGACGCAGCGACGCCGCGUGGGGAUGACGGCCU
rnacentral:rRNA from 1 species